CCAUCAGGUCAAGCUGGGGACUCUAAUGAAACUGCCUACGCAAGUAAGUGAGGAAAGGUGGGGGAGUGACGUCAAAUACAGCACGGCCCUUACGUCCAGGGCUACACACGUGCUACAAUGGCCGAUACAGAGGGCAGCUACCUGGUGACAGGAUGCAAAUCUACCAAAGUCGGUCUCAGUUCGGAUCGGAGUCUGCAACCCGACUCCGUGAAGUUGGAUUCGCUAGUAAUCGCGCAUCAGCCAUGGCGCGGUGAAUACGUUCCCGGGCCUU
rnacentral:rRNA from 1 species